ACUAUUUUAACCGCAACUAUUAGAGCUAAAGCGGGAAGCGUCAUUCCGGCGUACUAUUUAUCGGCGGUCCAAACCGACCGCUUGCAAUUCUGAAAGGGUCAUAAAUGCUUCACCCCUUGAAUUUGUGUCCCUUUUUCUCCAAAGACUGAAGUGCACGGAGGAGAGGUGCGACUUCAGCCUUCGAGAGCGUUGAAUUCUGAAAACUGAAAAGUGAGGUUCGUUCCCUUUCUAUGUGAACUACUUGAUAACUUGUUGUCUCGGACAAGCUGGAAAGGAAGAGGGUGGAAGUCUAAGAUCACAGGCAUAAAAUCCAAAGCACGGUAACAGCGACCAGAGACAUCCGACAAUGAGUUCUCAGGGGUUAGCGGUAGUAAGUACAGGCUUCAUUUUCUCUCUUCGUUAAUGCCUUUGUCCAUACUGGAAUUCAGAUUCUGAAAAUUUUAGCCGAAACCAUACCUGUAUAUUUUUUUCUUCUGCUAGGAUUUAGUGGACGCGUCAAUUCCUCCGUGUUCUUUCAAUUUUUUUUUUUUUUAAUCUGUAACUGUAACCUUUUCUCUUUCAAUGCAAUAGAUCGUCAGAAGACGUUUUGAC